rnacentral:rRNA from 1 species
AACGGUAACAGGUCUUCGAGACGCUGACGAGUGGCGAACGGGUGAGUAAUACUUCUGAACGUGCCCAGUCGUGGGGGAUAACUACUCGAAAGAGUAGCUAAUACCGCAUACGAUCUGAGGAUGAAAGCGGGGGACCUUCGGGCCUCACGCGAUUGGAGCGGCCGAUGGCAGAUUAGGUAGUUGGUGGGAUAAAAGCUUACCAAGCCGACGAUCUGUAGCUGGUCUGAAAGGACGACCAGCCACACUGGGACUGAGACACGGCCCAGACUCCUACGGGAGGCAGCAGGGGGGAAUUUUGGACAAUGGGCGAAAGCCUGAUCCAGCAAUGCCGCGUGCAGGAUGAAGGCCUUCGGGUUGUAAACUGCUUUUGUACGGAACGAAAAAGCUCCUUCUAAUACUGGGGGCCCAUGACGGUACCGAAAAAAUAAGCACCGGCUAACUACGUGCCAGCAACCGCGGGAAUACGUAGGGGGCGAGCGUUUUUCGGAAUUACUGUGCAUAAAGCGCGCGUCGGCCGUUAUGU